rnacentral:rRNA from 1 species
UACGAAGGGGGCUAGCGUUGCUCGGAAUUACUGGGCGUAAAGGGCGCGUAGGCGGACAGUUUAGUCAGAGGUGAAAGCCCAGGGCUCAACCUUGGAAUUGCCUUUGAUACUGGCUGUCUUGAGUUCGGGAGAGGUGAGUGGAAUGCCGAGUGUAGAGGUGAAAUUCGUAGAUAUUCGGCGAAACACCAGUGGCGAAGGCGACUCACUGGCCCGAUACUGACGCUGAGGCGCGAAAGCGUGGGGAGCAAACAGG